rnacentral:rRNA from 1 species
UACGUAGGGGGCAAGCGUUGUCCGGAAUCAUUGGGCGUAAAGCGCGUGUAGGCGGCUCGAUAAGUCCGGUGUGAAACCUUGGGGCUCAACCCCAAGCCUGCACUGGAUACUGUCGAGCUAGAGUCCGGGAGGGGAGAGCGGAAUUCCUAGUGUAGCGGUGAAAUGCGCAGAUAUUAGGAAGAACACCGGUGGCGAAGGCGGCUCUCUGGAACGGUACUGACGCUGAGACGCGAAAGCGUGGGGAGCGAACAGG